GGCAGUUAACUAAAACACAAGGCAAAAGAAUUGAGGAAAACUGUUGCAGUGUUGCUUCAAUUGUAUAUCACAGAUUGUUAUAUCUCAAGUAUCGCUUUUUUUUGUACAUGUGCUGCACUGAUUUCAACUUUUCUAUAACUGUAUUUGUUUUCAAACGUUUAUAAUUUAUCUUUAAAUCACUUUAAAAUAUGUACGACAAUCAUUUAAGAUUAUUCUGGUCAUAUUUUUUGUUUUCCAGAUAUAAAAG
rnacentral:lncRNA from 1 species